UACGAGGGGGGCAAGCGUUGUUCGGAAUUACUGGGCGUAAAGGGCGCGUAGGCGGCGACCCAAGUCAGAUGUGAAAGUCCUGGGCUUAACCUGGGGACUGCAUUUGAUACUGGGUUGCUUGAAUUCGGGAGAGGAUAGCGGAAUUCCCAGUGUAGAGGUGAAAUUCGUAGAUAUUGGGAAGAACACCGGUGGCGAAGGCGGCUAUCUGGACCGACAUUGACGCUGAGGCGCGAAAGCGUGGGGAGCAAACAGG
rnacentral:rRNA from 1 species